GUAGGUGAACCUGCGGAAGGAUCA
rnacentral:ncRNA from 36 species